rnacentral:piRNA from 1 species
UGUCAACAAGUACAGCUAGUCUGACACAGU